UGCAGUCGAGCGAUGGAUUAAGAGCUUGCUCUUAUGAAGUUAGCGGCGGACGGGUGAGUAACACGUGGGUAACCUGCCCAUAAGACUGGGAUAACUCCGGGAAACCGGGGCUAAUACCGGAUAACAUUUUGAACUGCAUGGUUCGAAAUUGAAAGGCGGCUUCGGCUGUCACUUAUGGAUGGACCCGCGUCGCAUUAGCUAGUUGGUGAGGUAACGGCUCACCAAGGCAACGAUGCGUAGCCGACCUGAGAGGGUGAUCGGCCACACUGGGACUGAGACACGGCCCAGACUCCUACGGGAGGCAGCAGUAGGGAAUCUUCCGCAAUGGACGAAAGUCUGACGGAGCAACGCCGCGUGAGUGAUGAAGGCUUUCGGGUCGUAAAACUCUGUUGUUAGGGAAGAACAAGUGCUAGUUGAAUAAGCUGGCACCUUGACGGUACCUAACCAGAAAGCCACGGCUAACUACGUGCCAGCAGCCGCGGUAAUACGUAGGUGGCAAGCGUUAUCCGGAAUUAUUGGGCGUAAAGCGCGCGCAGGUGGUUUCUUAAGUCUGAUGUGAAAGCCCACGGCUCAACCGUGGAGGGUCAUUGGAAACUGGGAGACUUGAGUGCAGAAGAGGAAAGUGGAAUUCCAUGUGUAGCGGUGAAAUGCGUAGAGAUAUGGAGGAACACCAGUGGCGAAGGCGACUUUUCUGGUCUGUAACUGACACUGAGGCGCGAAAGCGUG
rnacentral:rRNA from 2 species